CUCUUAUCAAGAGAGGUGGAGGGAUGUGCCCAAUGAAGCCCGGCAACCGUCAGCGUACUCGCUGAAAUGGUGCCAAUUCACACAAAGCGUCUGCUUUGAGAGAUAAGAG
rfam:Geobacillus sp. WCH70, complete genome.